rnacentral:rRNA from 1 species
UAGAUACCCCAUUAUUUUAAGAAAAUAAACCUAUACUUGAUCAAUAAUUGUUAUGUGCUUGAAAUUUAGAGAAUUUGGCGGUAUCUAAGUCUAGUUAGAGGAACCUGCUUCUUAAAACGAUAAACCACGAAGCAUCUUAUUUUUCUUUGUUUUCAGUUUGUAUACCUCCAUUAUUAAGUGAAAUUAAGAAGUUUUUGCUUUAAUAUAGAAUUGUUAUAGUAUAUUAGGUCAAGGUGCAGCUUAUGGAAAAAUUGACUGUGGGUUACAUUUUUAUUUUAAGGUCGAAAAAGAAACCUGAAAUGUGUACUUUGAAGUUGGAUUUAAUUGUAAUUUUUAUUUAACAUGUAAAAUUGAUAUUUUAGCUCUUAGAUAUGUACACAUCGCCCGUCGCUCGGCGGGAAA